AUUGAACGCUGGCGGUAUGCUUAACACAUGCAAGUCGAACGGUAGCAGGCCUUCGGGCGCUGACGAGUGGCGGACGGGUGAGUAACGCGUAGGAAUCUGCCUCAUAGUGGGGGGACAACGUGGGGAAACUCACGCUAAUACCGCAUACGCCCUACGGGGGAAAGCGGGGGAUCUUCGGACCUCGCGCUAUGAGAUGAGCCUGCGUUAGAUUAGCUAGUUGGUGGGGUAAAGGCCUACCAAGGCGACGAUCUAUAGCUGGUCUGAGAGGACGAUCAGCCACACUGGGACUGAGACACGGCCCAGACUCCUACGGGAGGCAGCAGUGGGGAAUAUUGGGCAAUGGGCGCAAGCCUGAUCCAGCCAUGCCGCGUGAGUGAAGAAGGCCUUCGGGUU
rnacentral:rRNA from 1 species